rnacentral:rRNA from 1 species
CCUACGGGUGGCAGCAGUGGGGAAUAUUGGGCAAUGGGCGCAAGCCUGACCCAGCAACGCCGCGUGAAGGAAGAAGGCUUUCGGGUUGUAAACUUCUUUUAAGGGGGACGAACAAAUGACGGUACCCCUUGAAUAAGCCACGGCUAACUACGUGCCAGCAGCCGCGGUAAUACGGAGGAUGCGAGCGUUAUCCGGAUUUAUUGGGUUAAAAGGGUGCGCAGGCGGAUUUUUAAGUCAGCGGUAAAAUCGUGGGGCUCAACCCCAUCCAGCCGUUGAAACUGGGGAUCUAGAGUGUGCUAGAGGUAUGCGGAAUGCGUGGUGUAGCGGUGAAAUGCAUAGAUAUCACGCAGAACCCCGAUUGCGAAGGCAGCAUACCGGUGCACAACUGACGCUCAGGCACGAAAGCGUGGGUAUCGAACAGGAUUAGAUACCCGAGUAGUC